AAAACCAAUGCCCUUCGGGGCUUCCUGGUGAUUCAUGAUAACUUCUCGAAUCGCACGGCCUUGCGCCGGCGAUGGUUCAUUCAAAUUUCUGCCCUAUCAACUUUCGACGGCUGGGUCUUGGCCAGCCAUGGUGACAACGGGUAACGGAGGGUUAGGGCUCGACCCCGGAGAAGGAGCCUGAGAAACGGCUACUACAUCCAAGGAAGGCAGCAGGCGCGCAAAUUACCCAAUCCCGACACGGGGAGGUAGUGACAAUAAAUACUGAUACAGGGCUCUUUUGGGUCUUGUAAUUGGAAUGAGUACAAUUUAAAUCCCUUAACGAGGAACAAUUGGAGGGCAAGUCUGGUGCCAGCAGCCGCGGUAAUUCCAGCUCCAAUAGCGUAUAUUAAGUUGUUGAGGUUAAAAAGCUCGUAGUUGAACCUUGGGCCUAGCCGGCCGGUCCGCCUCACCGCGUGCACUGGCUCGGUUGGGCCUUUCCUUCUGGAGAACCGCAUGCCCUUCACUGGGUGUGUCGGGGAACCAGGACUUUUAC
rnacentral:rRNA from 1 species